ACGGGUUUGUGCGACGCAGCUAACGCAUUAAGCGCCCCGCCUGGGGAGUACGAUCGCAAGAUUAAAACUCAAAGGAAUUGACGGGGCCCCGCACAAGCAGCGGAGCAUGCGGCUUAAUUCGACGCAACGCGAAGAACCUUACCAAGGCUUGACAUAUACAGGAAUACGGCAGAGAUGUCGUAGCCGCAAGGUCUGUAUACAGGUGGUGCAUGGUUGUCGUCAGCUCGUGUCGUGAGAUGUUGGGUUAAGUCCCGCAACGAGCGCAACCCUCGUUCUGUGUUGCCAGUAUUUAGUUGGGGACUCACAGGAGACUGCCGGGGUUAACUCGGAGGAAGGUGGGGAUGACGUCAAAUCAUCAUGCCCCUUAUGUCUUGGGCUGCACGCAUGCUACAAUGGCUGGUACAAACGGCUGCGAUACCGCAAGGUGGAGCGAAUCCGAGAAAGCCAGUCUCAGUUCGGAUUGGGGUCUGCAACUCGACCCCAUGAAGUCGGAGUUGCUAGUAAUCGUAGAUCAGCAACGCUACGGUGAAUACGUUCCCGGGGCUUGUACACACCGCCCGUCACAUCACGAAAGUCGGUAACACCCAAAGUCAGUGCCCAA
rnacentral:rRNA from 1 species